rnacentral:rRNA from 2 species
ACGGGAGGCAGCAGUGGGGGAUAUUGCACAAUGGAGGAAACUCUGAUGCAGCGACGCCGCGUGAGGGAAGACGGUCUUCGGAUUGUAAACCUCUGUCUUUAGGGACGAAAAAAUGACGGUACCUAAGGAGGAAGCCACGGCUAACUACGUGCCAGCAGCCGCGGUAAUACGUAGGUGGCAAGCGUUGUCCGGAAUUACUGGGUGUAAAGGGAGCGUAGGCGGGGAGACAAGUUGAAUGUUUAAACUAUCGGCUCAACUGAUAGUCGCGUUCAAAACUAUCACUCUUGAGUGCAGUAGAGGUAGGCGGAAUUCCUAGUGUAGCGGUGAAAUGCGUAGAUAUUAGGAGGAACACCAGUGGCGAAGGCGGCCUACUGGGCUGUAACUGACGCUGAGGCUCGAAAGCGUGGGUAGCAAACAGGAUUAGAUACCCUGGUA